UUGCAGAUAAAAAAAACCAUUCAUACCAAGGGAGAAGUAUGAAUGGCCAAUACAUUGCGGGAAAACGUCUUACCGGCACCCGCCUCAAGGGAGAGAAAAGGCGUUAGCGGUGCCAGCGGUUUGCAUUCUAAACCAGUUAGCUUUAAAUGGCGUUAAUCUGUGCAAUUAUUUUCAUAAUUUACGUUCA
rnacentral:ncRNA from 1 species